rnacentral:rRNA from 1 species
AUUGAACGCUGGCGGCAUGCCUUACACAUGCAAGUCGAACGGCAGCACGGGAGCAAUCCUGGUGGCGAGUGGCGAACGGGUGAGUGAAGUAUCGGAACGUGCCCAGUCGUGGGGGAUAACGUAGCGAAAGUUACGCUAAUACCGCAUACGAUCUAUGGAUGAAAGCGGGGGAUCGCAAGACCUCGCGCGAUUGGAGCGGCCGAUAUCAGAUUAGGUAGUUGGUGGGGUAAAGGCUCACCAAGCCGACGAUCUGUAGCUGGUCUGAGAGGACGACCAGCCACACUGGGACUGAGACACGGCCCAGACUCCUACGGGAGGCAGCAGUGGGGAAUUUUGGACAAUGGGCGAAAGCCUGAUCCAGCCAUGCCGCGUGCAGGAUGAAGGCCUGCGGGUUGUAAACUGCUUUUGUACGGAACGAAAAGGUUUGGCCUAAUAAGCUGAGCUCAUGACGGUACCGUAAGAAUAAGCACCGGCUAACUCUGUGCCAGCAGCCGCCGUAA